GACAGAGGUGGCGAGCGUUGUUCGGAAUCAUUGGGCUUAAAGCGUGUGCAGGCGGCGGCGUAAGUGUCGAGUGAAAGCCCGCAGCUCAACUGCGGAACGGCUCGGCAUACUGCGUCGCUUGAGGUCGGUAGAGGUGCCUGGAACUCUAGGUGGAGCGGUGAAAUGCGUAGAUAUCUAGAGGAACGCCUGAGGCGAAAGCGGG
rnacentral:rRNA from 1 species